rnacentral:tRNA from 1 species
GCCGAGGUGGCGAAAUUGGCAAACGCGCCGGGCUCGCAACCCGGUGGGGAAAGGGAGCCUCUCUUAGGUCCUCCCAAGUACCCUUGCGGGUUCGAACCCCGCCCUCGGCACCA